rnacentral:rRNA from 1 species
UUCUUCUAGCACAUAUUAGAAGUACGCCCUGCCCAAUGAAAUCUUCAAUGGCCGCGGUAUCCUAACCGUGCAAAGGUAGCAUAAUAAUUUGCCCGUUAAUUGCGGGCUAGAAUGAACGGGUAAACGAAAUAUAUUCUGUCUCAAAUAGAUAAAAUUAAAUUAGCAUUUAGAUGAAGAGAUCUAAAUACAAUUGAAGGACAAGAAGACCCUAUAGAGCUUUACUUAUAAAUAUAAUUAAUAUAAAAAGUUCGGUUGGGGCGACCUAGGAAUAUUUAUCAUCCUACAAAAUAAAGAUAUAUAUAUCAAUAAAUAUGACCCUUAUAAGAUCAAAAGAUCAAGCUACCUUAGGGAUAACAGGCUAAUCCUCCCAGAGAGACCUUAUCAACAGGAGGGAUUGGCACCUCGAUGUUGGCUUANGGAAAUCUAUAUGAUGCAGCAGUCAUAAAAAGAAGGUUUGUUCAACCUUUAAUAUCCU